CUCUUGAAAGGUCUUACUUCCAUACUUUUUCUCACUAGCUAGGUGUUUUAGAGAGAGAAAAAAGGAACUUCUACAAUAGCUUGGAAGAAUUUUGAGAAGGCAUUUCAUUAUAAUCCACCAUGGUUCUAACGAGGCCCCUCAACCCCAAUUAGACCAUUAGGGGAGUUAGAGUCGACUAAAGGUUCAACAAAUACAAAUCAGGAGGCAGCCAGUAACUAGGUCAAGGUGUCUUUGUAAUUUCUUAUCCUUGGUAGGUACCUUGGCAUUCUGUAGCCGCACGUUCACCUUGGUCACUCCGCUGAAAGCCUAGAGUCAUUUUGUUUGUUAAUAUGUACAUGUGAUGUAAAGUACUAAGAUGUAUGCCUUAAACCAUAUAUGUAUAUUUUAAUUGGUAAAGCCACCAUGAGUGGUAAUGAUUAAUGUUAUUUUGGGCUAAUAUAAAUGCAGUUUUUGAUU